UUGUUUUGACAGAAAGGCUGUGGUAAAUGAAUGACGUUUGAGCGAGGUGUGAAAUGUGAAGGUACAAAAUUAACUGGCUGUCCUGGUGAUUGAUGUGAUUGUAGAGAAGAUGACAGAGGCCAAAGCCAGAGGACUGACAGAACCAAAGGAGCCAAUUCUGGUCCUUUGAGAUCGAGCCUGGAGGAUAUCCUACUUUGAUUUGGUCCUCUUACACCUUAUCAUGCAAUGUUCUGUACAGUUUCUCUAUAUUGUUGUCUUCAUGUGUCAAGAGCCAGCACAUUGUCAUGAGGUGAAUAUAAGUCUGUACUGAGGAACCUUGAAGGCAAUUAUAUGUGAAGUUGGCAAGGAGUAGAAGACUCUUUUUGUGCAGCGUAGAUACCUAGUUGCUUCUUCUAGCAUUGUGCACAGUAUAGCCACCAUACAAUGACAGGUAACUAUGACACAUCUUCUUUUCCUAUAUGAAAUUUUUCCCUGAAUGUGUAAGCCACUACUGAUCUUUUAUACCAUCAGGUUUAUGGAGGUGGAAAGGGGUUUCCAAUGGGAAUUUUACAUGAUGAUGUUUCAAAAUACAUAUUUUGUGUUUUGGUAGUUCAUCUCUUGUUUUAAAAUAACUCACCUGCCAUUUUAAGGCCGAAUGUAGGUGUGCUGGCACUGGUAAUUAGUUUAUGUCAACACCAUUAUCCUUUUCUCCCCAACAUGUGCAACUCAUCAGUCUACAGCAUACCUUGGUUUAAUCUGUCAUUUCUCCUUCUUAAAACUGCUUAUGUAGUUUUAGUAGCUGCUUUAGUAGUUGCACAGAUGAUUUCCAGGAAAUAAAGGAUAGCCAAGGUAGCGGGAAGACAAAGGUAUUCACUGUAUGUGGUGAAGUAGUAGCAAGGAUUCUUCUCAGUGACUUGGUGAGCAAAAAUUCAAGAAAUGUAGAAAAAAGUUUUGGCACCAGGUCUCCAGUGAUGAGUAAUUGUGUUGGCUGCUGCGCUGGUAAUUAACAUGGAACAGAUAGCUACACGGAAGAUUGCAAUAUGAUACAUGCUACCAAACUCUCAGUUAAAGAGUUGGAUCCUAUCAGUUGUCUUUAGUGUGACUGUGCUUUAAGGCUCCACUCAGACAGUAUUUAUAUUGUUCAAAAUCUCAUGUCUGGAUCCUAGCUAAACCUGUAAACAUAUACUGAAAUUAUUUACAGUGUAAUUGUAAAGACUACUUCAGGUGGUUUAAAAAUGACAUUUUUAGUGACAUUAGUGAUAUCAGAGCCCAGCACAAAAUACAGAAAAAGCAAUUUUCAUUGUGCAUUAAUACUGACUUAUUGUCAGAAACAUAACUUUUCUAUGUAAAUAUUAAUCAUUUUGUUUAAACAUUAAAGGUGUGUCUUUAUUCUAAAUGGUAAA